rnacentral:lncRNA from 1 species
AAUUGAUAAACAUUAUUGUGCAGUUAACUUCAUAAAGUAAUUUUCAUUAAUCAUUAAUGGAAUUGUAUUAACUUAUAAUGUUUUAAUGCGACUCUUAUUAUAAGUAAAAAUAUACAUGGAAUAAGAAAAUAUUGAGUCAUCUUGUCUAUUAAAAUAGAAAUCAUUACUUUUUCAUGUGCAAUUUGUUUUGGAUCAUCUCUUGAAAAUUUAUUAAAUGUUAAUUUUGUAUUACCUAAUAAUAUAGGUCCAUUUAGGCCCGUUCAGGCUUAAUGACGACACCUCGAAUUCCCCCCCCCCUUUUUUCUCUUUUAAAUGCACCGAGAAGUUGAAACGUCGGAAAGUUGGAGCGGUUGGUUGAUGAGUCGCACGGCGUCGUUCUCUCGGAAGCGAGCAGUAGAGGCUUUAUCGCUCCUUUUGAUCGUUGUGUCGCAUGGAGGGUUCUGGAAUAUUUCCGCUUGAGGCCGAUUAGUCGUGGAUAAUCAGAUCCCGAUUGACAUAUCUAGGUUAACUGUUGGUUUAUUCUGAUUUUAAGAUGACCGACGUCCGAUUUAGACGAGAAGCCGAACCGUCGCGAGGGUCCGCUGGACAUUUGGGAGAGUUUCAAGGCCCAUUUAGGCCCGUUUAGGCUUAAUGACGACACCUCAAAUUCCCCC